CAUGUGUCCUAAAUGUUUAUUUAAAUUAGUUUUUCCUAAAGAACCAUUGCGCAUCAGUCCUUCAACUGUGAAUUGAAUUGACUUUGACUACACUUUCAUUCUUCAGUCUCUCAGACUGAAAUCAAAGAGCAGUGGUACUGUGGCAUCUCUUUGAGUGAGGUGGGUUAAGUGAUGCUUGACAUUAACAAAUGCUGAUGGGCAUAAGUCCUUACAUUAGCACACCCACUGGCUCACGACGUUGAUGUUAGCAUGCUAACAUUACAAGCUUGGCAUGGUUACCUUAGUCUGGUGCAUCCGCAUUAUGUUUAUUUGCUUAUUUAAAUCAAGCUUGCAAGCGACAAGGAGGCAUCCAUGAAAGAUAUAAUAAGACUAACUGUCUAAAUACUAUGUAUUUUUUAAAACAGCAACAACACUAUUGCCACAAACAACAUCAUCAACAUCAGCAAGAACUAAAACAACAACAACAACAUCAUCAAAAACAAUACAGACAAUGUUACCGACAACUAAAACAGCAACGCCGCAAAAAACUAACACAAGAGCACCAAAUAAAACACAGAAGCUGUUGCCAACUUCAGCUGCAACAACAGAAAAAACAGCAGCACAAACGGCAUCAUAUGUAAGAUCCAGUGACAACUUAAAAUCUUUUGGAUCAUCAUCCCCACCACAAGAAAUUGCUUCAUCAGAUAACGUGUUAAAGUACUUUCCCCUAUCGAUGGGCCUCAUCCUGCUCCUGCUAACAAUUGUUUAUCUGUACAAAAGCUUGAAGAGACAAAUCACAAAAUGGAGAGAGAAUAAUGCAGAGAAUUGUUCUGUACCACAAGAGUUGACCGUUUCGCAGCCAAUCACUCAGCCAAGAGUUGCAAAAAGGAAUGAAGAGGAGGGCACCCAGUUUCUGGAUGACCAUAGGCUGCCAUGUCACCUUUAAAUGACAAAACCUGCCCUGACUGAACUGGUGAAAAUGGAAAGCUGCACUAAGGACCACACUGUCAAAACUGCUGCUGUCUGUUUCAUUACGUCACAGCCGUGGGAUCUGGAUACUAUAAUGAAAAGGACAAAAGAAUGACUGCGUGUUGCAAAUGUCCUGGGCCCAAAUUAAGGAAGCCAUCCCAUUCAAGUCCUAUGGCAGUAAAUGAGGAGCUGGACUCACUUAAGCGAGAAAAAAAGGAAACAAGCCCAUCUAGUAAAGCAGGAGGUCAAAACAAGCAACAGGUCAUAACAAACCUGAGCAGAUGCUGAGGACUAGUUACGUGGUGGCGUUAGGUCAGUGACUGCAGAGGCAGAGAGUUUGCAGAUGGCCAGGGAAGUGGACAGUAUUAGUGUUAUGAAAUCAGUCCACGCCGGCUGUCAAACGCUGACGCCAUUCUUCAGUUUUAUACCCUAGGUCAUGGCAUCUUCUAAAUAAGUGACACCUUCACGUCAGCAUGCCAUGCACAAGGCUUGGCUUUCUUGGAAUAUCUAACACUAAUAAUAAAAAACUUUGAAACAAAAGUUUUUUCA
rnacentral:lncRNA from 1 species